rnacentral:lncRNA from 1 species
GAGAUAGUGAUGGCGGGGAACAAACGAUGAUGUGAUGACGGGGGAGAUGAAGGGUAGAUCUAAUGAGAUGAUGUAUUGUGUGUAAAUGUGUGUAUAUGUGCAGCAUAAAACAAGCUCGUCUUCUUCCUUUAUUUCUUGGCGAGAACGUCGGGAAUGUACCAUACCAGCCGGGUCGGGAAAUUUGGGCUGGGGGUGUUGGGUGGAGAAGCUCCGAUCACGGAAGAUGGGGGAGCUGUGAAAGUUGGUCGGG